GGAUAACCUGCCCUAUUGUCUGGAAUAACCUCGGGAAACUGAGAACAAGGCCGGAUAACCCACAAUGCCUGGAACGGUUUGUGGGUGAAGAUAGGAUGGGUCUGCGGCGUAUCAGGUCGUAGGGGGUGUAAUGGACCUCCUAGCCAUCGACGCGUACGGGUGUUGGGAGACAUAGCCCGGAGGUGGAUUCUGAGACACGAAUCCAGACCCUACGGGGUGCAGCAGGCGCGAAAACUUCACGCUGCAGGAAACUGUGAUGAGGGAACUCCAAGUGCAUCCACUAUGUGGAUGCUUUUUUUGACUAUUAAUCGGUCAACGAAUAAGGGCUGGGAAAGACCGGUGCCAGCCGCCGCGGUAAUACCGGCAGCUCAAGUGGUCGUCGCUUUUAUUGGGCCUAAAACGUCCGUAGCCUGUUUGGUAAAUCUGUGGGUAAAUCAACCAGCUUAACUGGUUGAAUUCUGCAGAGACUGCCAGACUAGGGACCGGGAGAGGUGUGGGGUACUCUAGGGGUAGGGGUAAAAUCCUGUCAUCCUUAGAGGACCACCAGUUGCGAAGGCGCCACACUGGAACGGAUCCGACGGUCAGGGACGAAGCCUAGGGGCACGAACCGGAUUAGAUACCCGGGUAGUCCUAGGUGUAAACGCUGUGAACUUGGUGUCGGGGAUCCGCAAUGGGUCCUCGGUGCCGGAGUGAAGAUGUUAAGUUCACUGCCUGGGGAGUACGGUCGCAAGGCUGAAACUU
rnacentral:rRNA from 1 species